rnacentral:rRNA from 1 species
UACGUAGGGGGCGAGCGUUGUCCGGAUUUAUUGGGCGUAAAGAGCUCGUAGGCGGUUUGGUAAGUUGGAUGUGAAAUCUCCAGGCUCAACUUGGAGGGGUCAUUCGAUACUGCCAUGACUAGAGUUCGGUAGGGGAGUGUGGAAUUCCUGGUGGAGCGGUGAAAUGCGCAGAUAUCAGGAGGAACACCGAUGGCGAAGGCAGUUCUCUGGGCCGUAACUGACGCUGAGGAGCGAAAGCGUGGGGAGCGAACAGG